rnacentral:rRNA from 1 species
CAGUAGCCACGGUAAUACGUAGGUGGCAAGCGUUGUCCGGAAUUAUUGGGCGUAAAGGGCUCGCAGGCGGUUUCUUAAGUCUGAUGUGAAAGCCCCCGGCUCAACCGGGGAGGGUCAUUGGAAACUGGGAAACUUGAGUGCAGAAGAGGAGAGUGGAAUUCCACAUGUAGCGGUGAAAUGCGUAGAGAUGUGGAGGAACACCAGUGGCGAAGGCGACUCUCUGGUCUGUAACUGACGCUGAGGAGCGAAAGCGUGGGGAGCGAACAGGAUUAGAUACCCCUGUAGUCCCUGUCUCUUAUAC